rnacentral:rRNA from 1 species
UUUCUAAAAACUUAUUUAUAAACAAAGAAAUAACUAAAAUUAAUAAAAAUAUUUUUAUCACAUCAAAUGUUUACCAAUAUAUUUUUAAAAUUAAACUAAAUAAUAAUUUAUUAGUAUUGAAAAAGAAAGUCUAAUAAUAACCGAAAUAAAAAGAAAAAAUAAAUACUUGUACCUUGUGUAUCAGUGAUUUUUCACAUAAAAGAAAAUUUAAUUCUUAUCCCGAAUAAUAUGACCUAAAAUAUUAUUUAUUUUAAUGUAACAAAAUUAUAAAUAAUAAUAAUUUAGAUAUGAUAUGUUUGUCACAUAUUUUGAUACCUGGUUUCUUAAAAUAAAAUUAAAUUUCAAAAAUAAUAGGUUUAAAUAAAUUAAUAAAAAACUUAUUAUUUAAAUAAAAUUAGGGGGAUUAGCUCCUAAAAUUAUAUUAAAUUAAAAUAAUAAAAAUAAUUACAGUAGAUUUUAUAACAACCACCUGUCUAACACGUCAUAGUAAAUAUUAUAAUUAUAAAUAUUUAUAAAUAUUUAUAAAAUAAAAUUAAGAAAUUAUUUAUAACUUCAUUUAAUAAGUUACCAUAAAAAUAUUAUUAUAAAUUAAUAUAAAUUAAAAUUAUCCAAUUAAAAUAAAUAAAAUUUUAAAUUCGAAAUACUUAAUUCAAGGAACUCAGCAAAAAUAACUUCCCGCCUGUUUAAUAAAAACAUGUCUUCCUGUACAUAAUAGGAAGUCCAACUCUGCCCACUGAAAUAAUUUAAAAGGCCGCGGUAAUUUUGACCGUGCUAAGGUAGCAUAAUAAUUUGUCUCCUAAUUAGAGACUAGAAUGAAAGGUCAAACGAGGUAGUAUCUGUCUCCUAAUAAAUAUUAAAAAUUUACCUUUAAGUGAAAAGGCUUAAAUAAAUCAUAAGACGACAAGACCCCGUAGAACUUCAUACAAAAAUUUAAUAUUAGUUCUUUAUAAAAAAUUUUUGUAUUUCGUUGGGGUGACCAAUUUUAAAAAUAAACAAAAACUUAUUUUUACAUAUAUAAAUGAAACUUUUAUUGACCCAGAUAUUUCUGAUUAAAAGAACAAGUUACCUCGGGGAUAACAGCGUAAUUCUUUUCAAAAGCACACAUUAACAAAAGAGAUUGCGACCUCGAUGUUGGACUAAGAAACCUAUAAAAUGCAGCAGUUUUAUAAGAAGGUCUGUUCGACCUUUAAUAUCUUACAUGAUCUGAGUUUAAACCGGCGUAAGCCAGGUUGGUUUCUAUCUAUGAUUUUUAAAAAUAACUUCUUAGUACGAAAGGAACGAAAGUUAAAAAUUAUUUUAAUUUAAUGAAUAUAAAUAAUAAUAA